GAGAGAGGGAGAGAGGGAGAGAGAGAGAGAGAGGAAUAGGUAUGGAAAUAGAAAGAAAAAAGAAAAGAUAAGAUGAAAAGAAUAAUAAUGAGCGAAAAAAAUGGAUGAAAAUAUAGGAGUGCAAAGGUCAGACGUAUAGCUAUAAUUGAUAUGAGAAGUAACAUAAAAUUAUGCUACCAGAAUUCGAUAAUUCAAUACUUUCUCUCCUCCUCUCUCUCUCUCCUCCUCUCUCUCUCUCUUCCUCUCUCUCUCUCUCCCUCUCUUUCCUUUUACAU
rnacentral:precursor_RNA from 1 species